rnacentral:rRNA from 1 species
UUGAUCUUGAUUAUCCUACUUGGAUAACUGUGGUAAUUCUAGAGCUAAUACACGCAAUAAAGCUCCGACCUUACGGGACGAGCGCAUUUAUUAGACCAAAACCAAUCGGGCUUCGGCCUGAACGGUGGUGACUCUGAAUAACUGAGCUGAUCGCAUGGUCUUUGUACCGGCGACGCAUCUUUCAAGUGUCUGCCUUAUCAACUUUCGAUGGUAGUUUAUGUGCCUACCAUGGUUGUUACGGGUAACGGAGAAUAAGGGUUCGACUCCGGAGAGGGAGCCUGAGAAACGGCUACCACAUCCAAGGAAGGCAGCAGGCGCGCAAAUUACCCACUCUCGGCACGAGGAGGUAGUGACGAAAAAUAACGAGGCGGUUCUCUAAGAGGCCCGCUAUCGGAAUGGGUACAAUUUAAACCCUUUAACGAGGACCUAUGAGAGGGCAAGUCUGGUGCCAGCAGCCGCGGUAAUUCCAGCUCUCAAGGUGUAUAUCGCCAUUGCUGCGGUUAAAAAAGCUCGUAGUUGGAUCUGCGCCUUCGGACUCGGUCCGCCCAACGGGUGUGAACUGAGAUCCAAGGCUUAUACUGCUGGUUUUCCCUUGAUGCUCUUUACUGGGUGUCUUGGGUGGCUAGCGAGUUUACUUUGAAAAAAUUAGAGUGCUUAACACAGGCUAUCGCCUGAAUACUUGUGCAUGGAAUAAUAGAAUAAGACCACGGCUUUAUUUUAUUGGUUUUAGUCUUCGUUAAUCAAGAACGAAAGUCAGAGGUUCGAAGGCGAUCAGAUACCGCCCUAGUUCUGACCGUAAACGAUGCCAACUAGCGAUCCGCCGGUGGUAAUUACGCCCCGGCGGGGAGCUUCCCGGAAACGAAAGUCUUCCGGUUCCGGGGGAAGUAUGGUUGCAAAGCUGAAACUUAAAGGAAUUGACGGAAGGGCACCACCAGGAGUGGAGCCUGCGGCUUAAUUUGACUCAACACGGGAAAACUCACCCGGCCCGGACACCGUAAGGAUUGACAGAUUGAGAGCUCUUUCUUGAUUCGGUGGUUGGUGGUGCAUGGCCGUUCUUAGUUGGUGGAGCGAUUUGUCUGGUUUAUUCCGAUAACGAACGAGACUCUGGCCUACUAAAUAGUGACAGGAUUAUUACUGUCCUGGAUACUUCUUAGAGGGACAAGUGGUUUUCAGCCACACGAAAUUGAGCAAUAACAGGUCUGUGAUGCCCUUAGAUGUCCGGGGCUGCACGCGCGCUACACUGAAGGAAUCAGCGUGCUAAAACCAUUGUCGAAAGGCAUUGGUAAACCCAUUAAAAUCCUACGUGAUUGGGAUCGGGAAUUGCAAUUAUUUCCCUUGAACGAGGAAUUCCCAGUAAGUGUGGGUCAUAAGCUCGCGUUGAUUACGUCCCUGCCCUUUGUACACACCGCCCGUCGCUGCCCGGGACUGAGCCGUUUCGAGAAAAGCGGGGACCGCUGCUGUCGGGGCUUUCGGGCCUUGGCUUCGGUGAAA